UGGGGAAUAUUGGACAAUGGGCGAAAGCCUGAUCCAGCCAUGCCGCGUGUGUGAAGAAGGUCUUCGGAUUGUAAAGCACUUUAAGUUGGGAGGAAGGGCAGUAAGCGAAUACCUUGCUGUUUUGACGUUACCGACAGAAUACGCACCGGCUAACUCUGUGCCAGCAGCCGCGGUAAUACAGAGGGUGCAAGCGUUAAUCGGAAUUACUGGGCGUAAAGCGCGCGUAGGUGGUUCGUUAAGUUGAAUGUGAAAGCCCCGGGCUCAACCUGGGAAAUGCAUCCAAAACUGGCGAGCUAGAGUAGGGCAGAGGGUGGUGGAAUUUCCUGUGUAGCGGUGAAAUGCGUAGAUAUAGGAAGGAACACCAGUGGCGAAGGCGACCACCUGGGCUCAUACUGACACUGAGGUGCGAAAGCGUGGGGAGCAAACAGG
rnacentral:rRNA from 1 species